GCGCUAUAUUUUCCGGCAAAAUCAAGAUGAAGAUAAUGUAUGGUAAUGAAGAUUUGGAGCAGCAAGAGAUUAAUGACGUGGAGUUGAGCUGAAUAGAAAAUAUUGAAGGAAAAAAAAAAGAUAAAGGAAACUAAAAUAUAAGAAAUGAUGUUGCUAUUACUUGGCUUUCAGUUGUCAUUUUCAGGUUUUUUUUCGUAUGCAUUAAAAAUAUCGAGAUAUGUUGUCUCCCUUUUUUUCGUAUGCAUUAAAAAUUUGUU
rnacentral:lncRNA from 1 species